rnacentral:rRNA from 1 species
UACGUAGGUGGCAAGCGUUGUCCGGAUUUACUGGGCGUAAAGAGCGCGCAGGCGGUCGUUCAAGUCGCGUGUGAAAGCCCCCGGCUCAACUGGGGAGGGUCACGCGAUACUGAUCGACUCGAAGGCAGGAGAGGGAAGUGGAAUUCCCGGUGUAGUGGUGAAAUGCGUAGAUAUCGGGAGGAACACCGGUGGCGAAGGCGGGUCUCUGGGCCGUAACUGGACGCUGAGGAGCGAAAGCAUGGGGAGCGAACAGG